GUGUACAGCUUUGGGGUUGUGCUAAUAGAGCUCUUGAGUGGAGAAAAACCCAUCUCUUCUACUAGAGCUGAGGAUGAGAAAAAUCUUGUAGCACAUUUCGUUUCAUUGGCAGAGGAGAAUUGCCUGCAUAAAAUUUUAGAUCCUCGAGUUGCAAGAGAAGCAAAGCCAGAGCUUGCUUAUGCAGUUGCAGAGCUUGCCAUCAAAUGUGUGAGGUCUAAUGCUAAGAAUAGGCCUUCAAUGAGGGAGGUAGCAAUGGAACUGGAUGGAAUGAUCAAAUCACAGCACUGCUUAGAGAUUGACCAAGAACAUCUAGUGAGAGAUGAAGAGGACAGUAGUACUAGUGAAACAGACAGCAAAUUUGGAGAAGAUGAUGUUGCCAUUUCCGAAGAGAUGGGAACUGUCUGCAUCUAGAUACUAACUAUCCCAAAUUGGCUGGAGGAUCAUAUUAAGGAUGAGAACUGCUGGUCUUAAUUUGGCAUGUGCAGUAUAUUGAAUGUUCCAAGCCAAUGUGUUUACGAGAAAGAAGAAUUACUACUCUAUUAUCACUAGCCAUUGCUCAUUGAUAAGAGUCAGGUUGUUUUUAUAUAAUUUCUCAGUGUUUUUAGUUGACAUUGUGCUUUUUUUUUAAAGCUUCUGAUAAGUGAAAUUAUGUUAUAUAAUCAUUAUAUACAAUGAUUAUGUUCUUACCAUUGAUAUGUAUUCACUAUAAUGGCAUGGGGUGCUCUUUUGAU
rnacentral:misc_RNA from 1 species